UGCCCAGCAGAGACAUGAAAGUGCCUCUAAUAUUGCUAAUAAUCAUGUGCGCUGUUACUAUCCCAUUUUGCCACCUUAAGAAAAGUCAUGGGUGCCUAAAAGGAAAAAAAGGAGAGAAUCAAUUCGCGUUUAAUCCAAAUCAUCCGUGCAUAACAUAUUGCAGAAACAAAUACGGUACGCCUACAACCGAACACCACAUGCCUGCUCUUGCUAAACCUGUCUGUUUAAGGGGGAAAUGCAAGUGUGCCGUAAAUUACUAUUACUAUCCACUUCUUUCAAAAUGGGAUAAAAUUAGAUCAUUGUGUUUUUUUCAUUUCAUUUGCCGGCCUGUAUUUCGAAAACUUCAAAAAAAGUGUUUGAACACUCCGAUUGAUUGUGUUUACGGCAAAUAAUAGUUUGUGUUGAUAACAGAACCCUCUGUUCACAGGGCUCCUGCUCUUUCUUUAUUAUACUUGCAAAAACAUUUUUGUUGUGAGAACAGAACUUCGGUCGUGAGCACAGAGUACUGUGUCCUCAUAAUGGAAAAACGGGAGGACAAAGGGCACCAGGCCCUUUACGCAGAGCAAGGGAAUUUUUUCCCUCCCCCUUAAAAAUCAUCGAUUCUCCACAAAAAAUUGCUAAAAAUCGAUGUAACCGAUCAUUGUGUAAACUUGUGAACAUCAAAGAUCGAAAAUACGUUUAAAGUUAAACAUGGAACUGAUAUGUUUAACAUGUGUAAACAACAAUAAGAACAUCAAUUCAACAAGAAAAGGAUAAAAAUCAGGUGAAAUUUUGGCCAAUUUGCCCCCCGUAACUCAAAAACGGUUCCUAUACUUAUCUAGAAAUUUUUUCGUGAGUUUUAUGUUAACAUAAGCUUCCUUUUAAUUCAUAGUGCGAUGACAAAAUCGACUCUUCCUAAAGAGGAGCACAUUUUUGGGAGGCUCUUUCCGUUUUGACAGCGCAAUAUUACCCUUUUUAAACAUUGUAGUCGGCGUUUUUCUAACUUCAAUCUACAAUCUGUUACAAUCUAGUAAAGCUGCAAAACCUCGAAUUUCGUUCACCACGAUUCAAAAUUUUCGCUAUCAUUUUAGUUCAUCAUAAGGAAAAAAAAACCAGCAUUAUUGGUUGAAGUUUUUAUUGAGUAUUCCUCACACAGAGCAGGCAAUUCAAGGAAGUUUUCGUAAAAUGGCGUUAAAUAUUUUUCCAUAACAUAUUAUUAUUAGAGGUCUGCAGUGUCGGACCCCAAGUUACGCGUUUUCGUGGUUUCGCCGUCGUCGAUGUGCACUGGGGAAAAAAAGUCGCUUGGAUCUAGAAGUCCAGACUCUUAAAAACAUUGACAAGAAAAAAUACUCUUGAUUCAAUCGGACUUUUUGCUUGAAUCAAUUGGAAAUCCGCCUAAAUCAAAAGGCUCGGCUCUUCGAUUCAAGAAGAAACCGGAUUGAAUCAAGAGUAUUGUUUCUUGUCGAUGUUAUUAAGAGUCUGGACUCUAGAUCCAAGCGACUUUUUCUUCCAGUGUGAAGAAGAUUCAUUGGCGGAAUAUUCCAAUGCCAACGGCAACAUGUCAAAGAGACGCCAGGCCGAUCGGCAUGGCAGCCAGAGAUGCGAAGACACACAAAUCGAAUGCGUAAGACGUCCGGAUCUGGGCCGCGGAGGGAAAUGAAUAAUGAAAGAUUCCUCUCCGCGAAGACAAAUCGACGCUCCUCCAACGUAAGGGCGUAUAUCGAUGUCCACGUGAGCCCUGCUUUACAUAUAAAUCCAUGGUAUCUGGGGCUCUUGCAGAAAUCGAGAUACGCCUUUACGUCGGAGGGGCGACGGAAUAUCGGCCGAGGGACGUCCGUCGCGUCCUCGGAAAGUGAGUCGGCAUAAUUCCAGACGUCCAACCUGGCCGAGGACGCUUCCGAUCCGUUGACGGAGGGUAUCACAACGUCGCGUCCGUUUCCAAUGAGGACGUUUGUUAUGUUUGGGGCUCGGACCCGGACGGGUGAUGACGUUGUCGGAGCCGUUUAGAGAGACGACUCUCGUGUCGAUACCGUUGUCUAGAUGCCGAGGACAAUGAGAGGAACGUUGAAUUUACUGGGGGACUUCCGAUAUUUUGAGAGGGCUAAUUCAGAUAAGCUCAUUUUAUUGCAUGGGAAGUCGCGAUCAGGUUCGAUGGAGCUUGGAAGAUCGUGUAGCGUUUUUGGCCUGGAAGUCGGUAGGAGCAAAUUGAAAUAAAUAGUAAACGGGAUAAGAAUUUGUAAGCAACGGGGGAUAUAAUUUAUGUCUGAAUUUUAAGCAAAGUCGGUUAAACAUACUUUGGAAAAAAAACACAUUGGAUCUACAGUUCAGACUCUUUAAAAUAUUGACAAGAAAAAAUACUCUUGAUUUAAUCGGAUUUUUUCUUGAAUCAAAACGGAAUCCACUUAAAUUAAGAGGCUUGGUUCUUGAUUUAAGCUAGAUUCUGAUUGAAUCAAGAGUGAUUUUUCUUGUCGAUGUAUUUAUGAGUCUGGACUCCAGAUCCAACGUGUUUUUUUUCCGGGGUACUAAAAAUUAAUGAAGUUCCACUUAAACAGCACCAUUUUAUAAUGAAUGCGAUAAAAAGAACUAAGGUGUUGUGAUGUUGUGGAACCACAACAAUUAACUUCACCACUAAAAGUAUUCAUGAUCAACACAAUAUGAUAGAAUAAUAAGCAUGCCUUUAUUGUAUGGAUUAAAAUCAGAUGAUUUGAAGUACAUUUUGCACUAGGGGGCGGUUUUUUCUAGUUUACGUAUUUCAAGAAGUAUUUGCAAAUGUUCUUUCAAUUUCAUUGUAUCUUGGUGGAUCCUGACCUGUCUUUAAAGACAUGGCGGAAAGGAGCCAGGUUUGAGCUACGUCCAACUGUUGUCAACAGCCGGAAACGCCUUCAGUUUUGCGGGAUACUUCACCGCCCACACCAGAGUUAGAAUAUUUGUAUCAUGCAUUGCCGUGCAGACUCCUCUGCUUUUCUAAGAUUUAUGAAGUCACGCAUUUAGCCGGGAUCACCUUAGCACUGGAAACUGUUAGCACAUUAUAUCAUCAGUUUACCCUUACAGUUGCGUGAUUUUACAAUUGCGUAAAAACUUUCCGUUCCAACUUGCAAAAUGCGGUCUGAUUUGAAUUUUCCGCCCACAACAUUAGCAUCAUGUCAAAGCUCUUGUUGAAAACAAUCGUUUCACUUGGAAUAUGAGUACCUCUUUGUCUCCCGAACCUGGAGAAAAGUUGUGGGCCGCAAUUUGAGAUUUUACAUUUCUCCGAAAUUUUUUCCGCCUUUCAAAUCCUACUACCUUGAAACAUCCCAGCUCCGGUGAGGUUCAAAAUGAAUUUUGAAAUUGGGUGGUAAAGUUCGGUCAAUUUUCAAGAAUUUUUUCAAUUUUUAAGUGGGACACCAAAACGAUAGCAACAUCCUUGACUAUUACACCCCACUCCCCGUGUAAUAAUCUGUAUUAAUACUUGUCGGAGGGCAUGCUUAUAUAAAUUGUUUUUUUUAGAUUUGUGUAAUAUUCUUGAAGCAAGAGAUUGUCUCUGAUUCUAUGCUCGUUGUAUUUAUUACUAAGCUAGACCUUCAAAGAUAAAAUUAGCCUUACUACAUAAAUCACUGCCUGAUUUCCUCUCGUGAUUAAUGUUUGUGCCGAAAAAUAUAAUUGUAAACAAAAUGAUUCUGAAUUGAAAUUUUGUGAGUACAUUUUUUUAGAAAUCUGAAAAACUUCAAGUAGGUGUGCUGCAUAGUUUUCUGUCAGUAAAAUAAAGCU
rnacentral:lncRNA from 1 species